GCUAAUUUUUAAAUUUUUAGUAGAGACGGGGUUUUGAACUCCUGGUCUCCAACGCCUGACCUCAAGUGAUCCACCCGCCUCAGCCUCCCAAAGUGCUAAGAUUACAGCUCGUGUUCUUCAGUUGUCUUCCCUACGCUGCUGCCUCGGCAGUCACUAUCUCCUCAGGAAGCAGUCCCACCCGCCCCUUUCUCUUCCACGGCAUCCACACCAUCCGGAUGCCUGGAUUCAAAUGCCACGUCACCACUUGCCAGCUGCAGUGCCUUCGACAAGUUUCUCAAUCACUCUGUGCCUCAGCGUCCUCCUCUGUAAAACGGCGAAUGAUGGUAGCGCCUACCUCAUAAGCUUGUGAGGAUUAAGUGAGAGUCUAUCCAGUGUUGAGGAGAGUGGCAUAAAUAAAGCGCCUAGUGGUA
rnacentral:lncRNA from 10 species